rnacentral:rRNA from 1 species
AUUGAACGCUGGCGGAAUGCUUUACACAUGCAAGUCGAACGGUAGAGGGGGCAACCCCUCGAGAGUGGCGAACGGGUGAGUAAUAUAUCGGAACGUGCCCAGUCGUGGGGGAUAACGUAGCGAAAGCUACGCUAAUACCGCAUACGAUCUACGGAUGAAAGCGGGGGAUCGCAAGACCUCGCGCGAUUGGAGCGGCCGAUAUCAGAUUAGGUUGUUGGUGAGGUAAAAGCUCACCAAGCCUGCGAUCUGUAGCUGGUCUGAGAGGACGACCAGCCACACUGGAACUGAGACACGGUCCAGACUCCUACGGGAGGCAGCAGUGGGGAAUUUUGGACAAUGGACGCAAGUCUGAUCCAGCAAUGCCGCGUGCAGGACGAAGGCCUUCGAGUUGUAAACUGCUUUUGUACGGAACGAAACGGUGAGCUCUAAUACAGUUUGCUAAUGACGGUACCGUAAGAAUAAGCACCGGCUAACUACGUGCCAGCCGCCGCAGUAA